AAUUUCACUAAUUAGAGACACAUUGCUGAGAUAUCUUUGCCUAAACCUCACUGCUUCUAUAAAAAUAUAUCAUAGGGCAGUAUAUAGUAUUCGUCAUGUCUAUGCAAAAGGCAUGGCCAAAGUUUUAAAUAAAUAAAAAUAUGUGGGUAUACACCAAUUGAAAUAAAAAUCAGAAAAUAGUCCACCUCAUAUUGAGUGGUUGCGGUCUCACAUGGAUAUGAUCGUGUGAGCAAUGCCAGGAUAGCCGUCGGAGCCCCGUGGUUCAUCAGGAACGUCGACCUCCAUGACGACCUGGACCUAGAG